rnacentral:rRNA from 1 species
UACGUAGGGUGCAAGCGUUGUCCGGAAUUAUUGGGCGUAAAGAGCUCGUAGGCGGUUUGUCGCGUCGGAUGUGAAAAUCCAGGGCUCAACCCUGGACCUGCAUUCGAUACGGGCAGACUAGAGUUCGGUAGGGGGAGACUGGAAUUCCUGGUGUAGCGGUGAAAUGCGCAGAUAUCAGGAGGAACACCAGUGGCGAAGGCGCCGCUCUGGGCCGUGACUGACGCUGAAGAGCGAAAGCGUGGGUAGCAAACAGG